UACGUAGGGGGCAAGCGUUGUCCGGAAUCAUUGGGCGUAAAGCGCGCGUAGGCGGCCCGAUAAGUCCGCUGUGAAAGUCAAAGGCUCAACCUUUGAAUGCCGGUGGAUACUGUCGGGCUAGAGUUCGGAAGAGGCAAGUGGAAUUCCUGGUGUAGCGGUGGAAUGCGCAGAUAUCAGGAGGAACACCUAUAGCGAAGGCAGCUUGCUGGGACGACACUGACGCUAAGGCGCGAAAGCGUGGGGAGCGAACAGG
rnacentral:rRNA from 1 species